rnacentral:rRNA from 1 species
UACAGAGGGUGCGAGCGUUAAUCGGAAUUACUGGGCGUAAAGCGUGCGUAGACGGUUAUUAAGUCGGUGUGAAAGCCCGGGCUCAACCUGGAAUUGCAUUCGAGACUGAAUAGCUAGGGUACGGUAGAGGGAAGCGGAAUUUCCGGUGUAGCGGUGAAAUGCGCAGAUAUCUGGGGAAGGCCGGCGGCGAAGGCGCCUUUGACUGGGAAA